rnacentral:rRNA from 1 species
CCUGCCCCAUAGUCUGGGAUACCACUUGGAAACAGGUGCUAAUACCGGAUAAGAAAGCGGAUCGCAUGAUCAGCUUUUAAAAGGCGGCGUAAGCUGUCGCUAUGGGAUGGCCCCGCGGUGCAUUAGCUAGUUGGUAAGGUAAAGGCUUACCAAGGCGAUGAUGCAUAGCCGAGUUGAGAGACUGAUCGGCCACAUUGGGACUGAGACACGGCCCAAACUCCUACGGGAGGCAGCAGGC